AUUGAACGCUGGCGGCAUGCUUUACACAUGCAAGUCGAACGGCAGCGGGGGCUUCGGCCCGCCGGCGAGUGGCGAACGGGUGAGUAAUGCAUCGGAACGUGCCCAGUCGUGGGGGAUAACACAUCGAAAGAUGUGCUAAUACCGCAUACGUCCUGAGGGAGAAAGUGGGGGAUCUUCGGACCUCACGCUAUCAGAUGAGCCUAGGUCGGAUUAGCUAGUUGGUGAGGUAAAGGCUCACCAAGGCGACGAUCCGUAACUGGUCUGAGAGGAUGAUCAGCCACACUGGGACUGAGACACGGCCCAGACUCCUACGGGAGGCAGCAGUGGGGAAUUUUGGACAAUGGGCGCAAGCCUGAUCCAGCCAUGCCGCGUGAGUGAAGAAGGC
rnacentral:rRNA from 1 species